UAUGAAGUACACAACUUCUGUGAUAGUCCCAAGGUUUUUGUCUUUUUCAUUUUGUUACACAUGCUUGUCUGCCAAACGCAACACUCCAUUUACCAAAAGCUAGAGUAGUUUAGAAAAAAAAAAGAGGAAAACACACCUGCACUUUUCAAUUGAUAUGAUCAGUGAAAUAUGAUACUGGAUUAGAAGUUUGAAUGGAAGCUGUCUUUUAGCUUUGCUCAUUGCUCUGUUAUUAACCUUCAUCUGCUUGCUAUAGUUUCUUUCAUCUCCUACAGUAAAAUCUAAUGAUUGAAUCAUAUCUAAUUUGAUGUAUUUUUGAGAACUUUCUGGUUUUCUCCCAGAAGACAAAUAGGGUGUGAAGUUUCACUUCUCUUUAUGGAAUUAUUAGAAUAUACUUUUCUAAUGGAAUUAGAACUAUUUCAUUAUCUGUUAGAAUAAUAUUAGAAGUCUAAAGAGCUACUUCCAUUAGAUAAUUGAAAGGCAUAGCUCGUCAAAUUUCUACAGAAGUUAGAAUUUUGUAGAAAGACAGUCACUGCUUAUUUGACUGUAAGUUUGGAUUGAGGAAAAAAUCUCUCAAAAAUUACUUGGUUUAGAGAAAAGGGCUUUGUUGGUAUCAGGCACUUAAAAAUAGGCUUUGAGUGAAGUGCAAAGCAGCCAUGCUCCAAUUGGCCUAAAGCAUCCGAAAUCACUGAUGCCCUUACACUCAAAUGUAACAUCUUAAGAGUCAGAGAUGAGUAGUAGAAGUUAAUAAAAGAGUCUUUCUACAUUUUUAUGGCAGCUCAAGGGGAAGAGGGAAAAUGAAGCCAGGUUAAGAGGUUGCCUGUUCACUGAGGCUGUUUAGCAGCUUUCAUUUAGAUGUGUUUCCAGAUGCUUCUGACUUGGAGUGAUAAUUUUUAACUUUAAAUUUCCAUAAUGUGCAGUAAUCUCCUGUUGCAGUAUUUUGAAAAAUUUCACUGAAUACUGUUGUAUUUUAGAAGGGUGUUUGUAAGGAAAUAUUAUUUGUCAUCUUUUUUUAGCAGAGAUGGAGGUGUUUUCUUUGAAACGUUUAGGAUUAUCUAAAAAUGGUGAGGAACGAAGUGGGUGCAAGAGUGAUAUUUGUUGCCUGGGAACCAGGAGCUGUUGCAGUUUUGUGUUAGAGACUGUAAACUCUUUUCUAAAAUAUGUGAUGUGAGAUUUGUAUGCUUGCACUGCUGGCUAAUGCAUGAGUAACUUGGAAGACAUUUCAUAUUUCACCCUCUGGUGUUCCCCUCAGUGUACACUGAGCAAACAAGCAUUAAUCUGUAGCUAGAAGAAACUGGAGUUUUCUUGUAUGUAAGAUCUGAAUCCUGCUGGUGACAAGUUGAAGGGUCAGCAUGAUUCCCAUUUUUGAAUACUUGCAUUUAUCGUUAAAAAUAUCUGGAAUGGGAAGGAACGGACUUAUAAAAAUGGGGUUUCAGCUCUGCCAUUAGUUGUAAUGAUUCCUUCCCACCUGUACAGCUUUCUGUGGGAUCCUGCCAUAUUCCUUGUGCAGGCUAUGUGCUCCUCAGUCAGCGACUGCAGACUGUGCAGCCAUUAGCUCACUAUCUGCAAAGUCGCCUCAUUUUAAGGAAAAGCUUGAUAACAGUAAAGGGGGUCAAAUUGCCAGAGGUGAAAAAAGAAGAAAAGUCUGAUGCGGAAGGAAAGACCAUUCUUUGGUUUGGAGAACUGGAUUUUCUUUCUGCUGCCGUCACCAUGUUCUUCUAUAACACUGAGAAAGACACUUGGCUCACAGAAGCCCACUAAGAAUUUUGCUAAAUGCUUAAUAUGUGGGUGCUUGGGGCUACAUCUGCAGAAGUGCAGAGUAAUCACAUCUAUAUCUGGGUUCAGUAGAUCUGUUCUGAAAAUAUUGAGUGAAAGUGUUGGUAUUCGGCCAUACACUCAAUGGUGGUACAAAGAGCAAAUUUCACAGGGAUUCUCACAAUCCUUAUUCCUCUGAUGGUAAGUGCAGAAAUACUUACAGAGAAGCUGAUACAUUUGUGACCUCUAUACCAAGUGCUUUUGGGAAGCAGAGUUGAGCUGUGCACUGAAGAGGAUUGAAAAGAAUUGCUGAAUGAGAGAAGUGCCUACUGAGAAAAAUGUGAGCCUGCAAUUUAAGGUCAUAUCAUAAUGCACAAGGCAAUAGUGAAUCUUGCAUUUCCUAAUUCCUGAUUUUGAAACCUUCAUCUUGGUUAAUGUAGUUUUUUUGAUAUGAAUUUUAUAGAGAUUCCAUAAAUUACUGAGAUCUUUUUGUAGUUUGAGUUCACUACAUCGAAAUUAUGUCUGUAAGAGUCUGAGCUGCAGUUUGAUGACAGUUUUAGCUUGAAUUAUUUUUCAUCACUUUUAAGCAAACCUGUGCUUCACUUGGAAGUUUUUAUUAUUAAAUACAUAGUGAAAUAUAAAAAUACAUUUUGAUUGCUGAAGAUCAUGUUUAUUAUGUCAGACUGAUUUCUUUAAAUUUUUAAUCGGUCAACCCAGAAACAAUGGAUUUUUUUCAGCACUGUAACAAGAAACAUAUGCUUGUUUUACAUCCAACUUCCAUCUGAAGGAGAGCUACAGCACAUAUAAAUCUCAUAAGAAUUUUGAUGAAACAUCAUGCUUGUCAUUAUAAUGGAACUGUUUUAGCAUUAAUAUGGUAAACACA